GUGCGCCCCCGGCGGCCCU
rnacentral:snRNA from 1 species